rnacentral:rRNA from 1 species
AACGAACGCUGGCGGCAGGCUUAACACAUGCAAGUCGAGCGCCCCGCAAGGGGAGCGGCAGACGGGUGAGUAACGCGUGGGAAUCUACCCUUCUCUACGGAACAACUCCGGGAAACUGGAGCUAAUACCGUAUACGCUCUUCGGGGGAAAGAUUUAUCGGAGAUGGAUGAGCCCCGNGUUGGAUUAGCUAGUUGGUGGGUAAUGGCCUACCAAGGCGACGAUCCAUAGCUGGUCUGAGAGGAUGAUCAGCCACAUUGGGACUGAGACACGG